rnacentral:rRNA from 1 species
CCUACGGGAGGCAGCAGUCGGGAAUCUUCCGCAAUGGGCGAAAGCCUGACGGAGCGACGCCGCGUGAGUGAUGAAGGCCUUCGGGUUGUAAAGCUCUGUGGGGAGAGAAGAAUAAGCGCUGGCCAAUACCCGGCGUGAUGACGGUAUCUCCUUAGCAAGCACCGGCUAACUCUGUGCCAGCAGCCGCGGUAAGACAGAGGGUGCAAACGUUGUUCGGAUUUACUGGGCGUAAAGCGCGUGUAGGCGGCUUCGCAAGUUGGAUGUGAAAGCCCACGGCUCAACCGUGGAAGCGCAUCCAAAACUGCGUCGCUCGAGUCUCGGAGAGGAAGGUGGAAUGCUUGGUGUAGAGGUGAAAUUCGUAGAUAUCAAGCAGAACACCUGCGGCGAAGGCGGCCUUCUGGACGAUGACUGACGCUGAGACGCGAAAGCGUGGGGAGCAA